AUUGAACGCUGGCGGCAGGCCUAACACAUGUAAGUCGAACGAGUGGCGGACGGGUGAGUAAUGUCUGGGAAACUGCCUGAUGGAGGGGGAUAACUACUGGAAACUGUAGCUAAUACCGCAUACCAUCGGAUGUGCCCAGAUGGGAUUAGCUAGUAGGUGGGGUAACGGCUCACCUAGGCGACGAUCCCUAGCUGGUCUGAGAGGAUGACCGGCAACACUGGAACGGGAACACGGUCCAGACUCCUACGGGAGGCAGCAGUGGGGAAUAUUGCACAAUGGGCGCAAGCUGGAUGCAGCAAUGCCGCGGGUAUGAAGAAGGCCUUCGGGUUUUAAAGUACUUUCAGCGGGGAGGCGUUACCCGCAGAAGAAGCACCGGCUAACUCCGUGCCAGCAGCCGCGGUAAUUC
rnacentral:rRNA from 1 species